CGCAGAGUAGCUGUUGACAUUAUAGUUGCGCAGGCACUUUGUUGACUCUAGAGAACCUUGGGCAAAUCGCAUAUCCCUGUGGCGGCGACUUUCCAUGCGGAUGUCAUCCAUAUAAACUUUCGAUGCCAGUUUCUGCGCCUACCAUGGUGACCACGGGUAACGGGAAAUCAGGGUUUCAUUCUGUACAGGGACCCUGAGAAAUGGCUACCACAUGCUAGGAAGGCAGCAGGCGCGCAAAUUACCCACUCCCGACGCGGGAAGGUAGUGACG